UACGUAGGGGGCUAGCGUUGUCCGGAAUCAUUGGGCGUAAAGCGCGCGUAGGCGGCCCGGUAAGUCCGCUGUGAAAGUCAAAGGCUCAACCUUUGAAUGUCAGCGGAUACUGCCAGGCUAGAGUCCGGAAGAGGCGAGUGGAACUCCUGGUGUAGCGGUGGAAUGCGCAGAUAUCAGGAGGAACACCGAUGGCGAAGGCAGGUCUCUGGGCCAUAACUGACGCUGAGAAGCGAAAGCAUGGGGAGCGAACAGG
rnacentral:rRNA from 1 species